rnacentral:rRNA from 1 species
AGUUAACGUUGGCGGCGUGCCUAACACAUGCAAGUCGAACGCUUUUCGGGGGCAACUCCGGAAUGAGUGGCGAACGGGUGAGUAACACGUGGGUAAUCUUCCUUUAAGUGGGGAAUAAACUCUCGAAAGGGAGUCUAAUACCGCAUGAUUUUCCAGGGCAUAAGUUCUGGAAUAAAAGCCGCAAGGCGCUUGAAGAUGAGCCCGCGUCCUAUUAGCUAGUUGGUAGGGUAAUGGCCUACCAAGGCUUAGAUGGGUAGCCGGCCUGAGAGGGUGAACGGCCACACUGGGACUGAGACACGGCCCAGACUCCUACGGGAGGCAGCAGUGAGGAAUUUUGCGCAAUGGGGGAAACCCUGACGCAGCGACGCCGCGUGGAGGACGAAGGCCUUCGGGUCGUAAACUCCUGUCAGAGGUGAAGAAUGCCCGCAA